UACGUAGGGUGCGAGCGUUGUCCGGAAUUAUUGGGCGUAAAGGGCUCGUAGGCGGUUUGUCGCGUCGGGAGUGAAAACCUUGGGCUUAACUCAGGGCUUGCUUUCGAUACGGGCAGACUAGAGGUAUGCAGGGGAGAACGGAAUUCCUGGUGUAGCGGUGAAAUGCGCAGAUAUCAGGAGGAACACCGGUGGCGAAGGCGGUUCUCUGGGCCUUACCUGACGCUGAGGAGCGAAAGCGUGGGGAGCGAGCAGG
rnacentral:rRNA from 1 species